GGGGCCGUAGCUCAGUGGCAGAGCUCUUACCUUGGACGUGGGAGGCACUGGGUUCAAUCCUCGGCACCA
rnacentral:tRNA from 1 species